rnacentral:ncRNA from 1 species
GUAACAUAUAUAUAACAAUAUUUUAAUUUUAUAGUGAAGUGGGGAUAUCUUCCAUGUGAACAUCACUUGGACAUGGUCGGUUAGUAGAUCCUAAGAGAUGGGGAAUACUUGUACCAAGGGUGCACUUUGCAUGAACAUCGAAAGAGAAUUGGGUUAAUAUUCCUGAAUCGGGACAUGGUGGUGGACGACAAUGUUAGGAAAUCUGGAGAUGUCAUCGGGGGCCUGGGAAGAGUUAUCUUUUCUUUUUAACGACUUUCCCACCCUGAAAUUAGUUCAACUGUAGAUAGGGUUCAACAUCUGAAAGAGAACCACAUUUCUUGCGGUGUUUGGUGCCCCCUCGGCGACCAUUGUAAAUAUG